rnacentral:rRNA from 1 species
UACGAAGGGGGCUAGCGUUGCUCGGAAUCACUGGGCGUAAAGCGCACGUAGGCGGAUUGUUAAGUCAGGGGUGAAAUCCUGGAGCUCAACUCCAGAACUGCCUUUGAUACUGGCGAUCUCGAGUCCGGGAGAGGUGAGUGGAAUUCCCAGUGUAGCGGUGAAAUGCGUAGAUAUUGGGAGGAACACCAGUGGCGAAGGCGGCUCACUGGACCGGAACUGACGCUGAGGCGCGAAAGCGUGGGGAGCAAACAGG